rnacentral:misc_RNA from 1 species
GUUUGAUGUCUUCACAUCCCUAUGAACAAUGGGUGGAUUGACUUCAUUAUGUAGGUAUUCAAUUCCUCUUGCAGACUGCAGAGAGAUCUUCAAUCUCAAGUUCCAGUCCAGAGGCGGGAGCUCCCCAUGUAAAUGGUCAUGAAGAGUGCCAUGAGGCAUGAACUCAUAAACCAGCAACCUCUCCCCCAUUUCAGCACAGUAACCCAAUAAGUUCACUAUAUUGUUAUGCCUUAUACUGCAUAAGAUUUCUAAUUCCGCUUCAAAAUCCCGACUAUUUGUGUGGAUUAUAGUGGCAGCAUUAGCUCUCUUAACUGCUACUUGCCUACCAUCAGAUAGAACAGCCUUGUAAACAAAACCAAAAGUUCCUCUUCCAAGUUCAUUGAAUUCCUUGAAACCAUGUGUUACAUCUUUCAGUUCUGAAAGCCGGAACACCUGGGUCUCUCCAAUGGUUAUGGAGAGAGGAAGUUGUGGAUUGGGGUCAAGGUUAGUCUCCACCACUGGCUUAACAACACAAAAACCACACCCAUUUUUUCUGUUUUCUUCUUUUUUAGUUUUGACAUUCUGGGGAAUGAGACACCACCCAAUUAAAACUAAUAAGGAAGCCGAAACAGAGGAACCAAUGAUGACUGCUAGUUUCUUUAUCUCUUGUUGCUCCUGCUGCUUAAUCCCUGAUGAAGAAGGAAGCCCACAAAUGUCCCAGCAGGAGCUAUUUUGACAAAGUGAACAAGCAGUACAUAUCCUAUCUGCAUUCUGACGACACAUACUAGAGGGGAAAUAACCUUGGGAACAAUUUGUGCCACAAGGCAAGCAAAUCUUCAAGUCCUUUCUAACACAUAAACUUGUCAACUCUGGUUCAUUCAGGAUGCUUGCAUUGAAUGCAAACUUCCCACUGGGACAUGUUCCUGGUGAACAAAUGCCCGGACUACAUAACUGCAAAGGAGGGCUGUAAUCUGGAGGGGACUGCCCAUGAACACUCCAGCAAUCAAGAACUAAGUCAACUUCUCUAACUCCACAGGUAGUGUAAUCUGAUGAAGCAAAAGUCAUAAACCCAGAACCUUUAGGAACUGAUGACAGAUCAAUAUUCCCCCAACAAUAAAUUCCAUGAUUAUCUUCUUGGACUCCACAGAAAUGAUGUGCCCCUGCUGUUAAAUCCACAAAUCGAGUUCCAAUCGGUGGAGAACCAAACUCAUUAGCAUCACCCCAGCAUUCUAUUUCACUAGAUGGAGUUUUAACCCCACAAACAGAGUUCCUCCCUGAGGCUAAAAUCUCAAAAUCACCAGAAACAACUGGAACUCCUAAAUUAGUUGACCUGGGUCCCCAACAAACCACACCACUUUGCUUACUAACUCCACAACUAAAUCCAUCUCCAGAAACAAUCCUCCCAAAAACAAGACUAUUAACAUAUGAGUUGCGAAAUGAGCCAGUUGUUUGAUAAAAUUCCCAACAAUCAAUGUUACCAUAUUCUACACUGGAAUAGUAAGAUCCUUUAACAGCACAGGCAUGAUAUUUUCCAGCAGCUAUUUGUGAGUAAGAAUUGGUUUUGAAACGAAUUGGGACAAGAUUUUUACCUGGAUUUGACAAGCUGAAACAAUAUGCCUGAGAGGAGUUUGAUGUAAUGCCGCAAAGGAACCCCUCCCCGCCAGAUAGAGAUGCCAUGGGUGGAAGAGAACUAAAAUAUGCUGUUGAUGAUGAAACUGAAAAAUUAUCAUCUUUAUCCCAACAUAUGAUUCCUUGCUUUCCACCAGCAUCAAUAGCACAGAAGAACCCAUUUUCGCCAAAUGCAGCUGCUAUUGGCCCCGAUGAUCCGUACCCAAAAGCAGCGAUUGGUAGAGAGACAAGCAAAAUAAUGACAAGAAAUAGGGGUGAGCCAUAGAUACAUCUUCGAAGUGGCAUAUCUAGUGGUUAUUGGGUUUUAGAUAAUCAAGCGCGAGUACCUCAUAAGCUAAAAAUUGCUGGUGGACUCAGAAGAUGCAAUUGUUUGCUGUUGUGAUGGGUUUUAGCCUUUUUUUAUUCGGAAAUGAGUGGAGAUUCA